AUGUUUACUUUGGCAGCACAUAUACUAAAAUUGGAAUGAAACAGCAGAGAAGUAUGGCCCCUAUGUAAUAAUGAUAAGCAAAUUCAUGAAGCAUUCCAUAAUUUU
rnacentral:snRNA from 1 species